UGAUCUGUUGAGGGCCAUCUGGCUGUGACAUGUCACCCCAUUUAUCACCAGGGUUGUUUCUGCUGAUCUGGCUAGAUGGUGUCCCUUCCUCCUUCACUACUCGGUGUGUCUUGCCUGAAGCUGCAAAUUGAGGAUGAUCUUCCCCAGUAGAGGAAGCCCAUUCUCUGGUCAAGAGUUUAGAGUAGCUGUACUCCCCUGAUAGAACCUCCAAACAGGCUCUGAAAUGAUCACUUCCUGCUAUCUUCCUCUUUACUGUCGCCCAAGUCUGUAUUUAAUAAACCUAAGUUCUGAAUGUUUGUAUCAUAAAAAUUGCCUGUUCAUUUUAGAAGGAAAU
ensembl:misc_RNA 7SK 7SK RNA